GCAGUGGUGGUUCAGUGAUAGAAUUCUAGCCUUCAGUGUGGGAGACAUGGGUUUAAUUUCCAGCCAAUGCA
rnacentral:tRNA from 1 species